UUCAGUCCUCUUUUUUGGCAGAGGUACAUUCUUUUGCAUGUGCUGAUUAACAAAAUAAGUUUCCAUAAAGUAUUACACUCCAAUCUAUCCUCAUUUGUUUUUAUUAAGAUGGUGUGUGGUUUUCCAUUCUUCUGCAUUUUUUCUUUAUGACUAUAUCCCUUUUCAUAAUUACUUAACUCCAUUAUCAUUGUUGAAAGAUUUGUACCCAUUCAGGUAAGAUAUAUUUUCAAGGUUUUUUUUCCAUUGAAUGUAGUAAUAUUUCACAUUAGUCAAAUUACCUCCAAUUACUUCACAUUACCUUCAAUAUUUAGGGGCAAGGAGGUUGGCAAAGCAAUCCUAAAGACAAUACAUCAUUCCAAAAAUUGAAAAUUAAUCCCAUUUGUCUUUUAUGACAGGACAGUUGUGGAAAAAAAUAUAAAAAGAGUGAAGAGUAUUUUGAAAUGACUGCAUUAGAACUGGCCAUCAUUACUAAAGUUGUAGAUAUGAGUGAUGCAUGGACUCCUGUUCAGUGCACCUGGCAUCAUCCUCCUAAAAAGUAGGAUUUUCAGUGGACUUCUGACAACUAAAAAAACCAUGCCAUAUGAGAAAGGUUUUCUUGUGGGUGGAGACAAGAGCAAGAAGAAGUUAUCCAGGAGAAAGACAGUAAAGGUCCUGGGAGAGUGAAAUGGAGAAAGAGGAAGAGCACAUUUCGGGAUCCAUUUUGCACGGAGAGAGAGAGAGAGAGAGAGAGGCAGAGACACAGGCAGAGGGAG